rnacentral:misc_RNA from 1 species
AGUUGGAAAUCUUAAUAAAAGGUUACUAGUUCUUACUUUACUAGUUCCUGAGUUGUGACACCUGGCUUUUAUGCAGAUAUCAAGUUACAUAGACCUUUUUAUAUUUGAUAUGAUAUCUAGCUCCCAUUCUCUUCAUUCUAAGUUAGCAAACACUCAAGAAAAGGGGAUGAAGAUUUGAUUGAUUCCCACUUCUGGUUCAAUUCUCAAUGGAAACUCAAGGUCAUCUACUGGCAAAAUUUCAAUGACUAUAGUACCAUACACUCAAUAAUAAAAAAACAUAAAAAACCUGCCAAUUGAUUCUUGGCCAAAGUGAAUACCAACUGGUAUUUGAUAAUUUGUUUCAUUUGAUUCUUACAAAAAGUCAAACUACUAUUGUUAAGAAAUGUCAAGACACCACUCAACCUAAAACCUUAAACUUUUAGGUGAGGGUUCUAAGGAUAUUUUUAUAUCUCUAACACACACCCACGCACGAAUGCCCAUUGGACUUGAAGCGUGAACAAGGGCAAGCCCACAUUACCUUGUA